rnacentral:rRNA from 1 species
GGAGGGGGCGAGCGUUAUUCGGAAUUAUUGGGCGUAAAGGGCGCGUAGGCGGCCCGGUAAGUCAAAGGUGAAAUCCCUCGGCUCAACUGAGGAACUGCCUUUGAAACUGUCGGGCUUGAGGCCGGGAGGGGGUAGCGGAAUUCCCAGUGUAGCGGUGAAAUGCGUAGAUAUUGGGAGGAACACCAGUGGCGAAGGCGGCCCUCUGGACGAGUACUGACGCUGAGGCGCGAAAGCGUGGGGAGCAAACAGGAUUAGAUACCCUGGUAGUCCACGCCGUAAACGUUGGGCACUAGGUGUGGGGGGACGUCAACUCCUUCCGUGCCGCAGCUAACGCAGUAAGUGCCCCGCCUGGGGAGUACGGCCGCAAGGCUA